rnacentral:rRNA from 1 species
AGAGUUUGAUCCUGGCUCAGGACGAACGCUGGCGGCGUGCCUAACACAUGCAAGUCGAACGGAAUUACGCUUAACACCGAUUUCUUAAUAAAAGGUUGGAUGUUAAGUCGCUUAUGCGGUGAAUGAACGAAGUGAAUUCACCACGCAUAAAAAGUGCCAACCCCAUAAGAAUUGGGUGUUGAGCGUAAUUUAGUGGCGAACGGGUGAGUAACGCGUAGACAACCUACCCUUAAGAUGGGGACAACAGAUCGAAAGGUCUGCUAAUACCGAAUAUUAUAGAAGAAACGCAUGUUUCUUCUAUAAAAGAUGGCCUCUAUAUAUAAGCUAUCGCUAAAGGAUGGGUCUGCGUCUGAUUAGCUAGUUGGUGAGAUAAAAGCUCACCAAGGCAACGAUCAGUAGCCGGUCUGAGAGGAUGAACGGCCACACUGGGACUGAGACACGGCCCAGACUCCUACGGGAGGCAGCAGUGGGGAAUCUUCCGCAAUGGACGAAAGUCUGACGGAGCAACGCCGCGUGAGUGAAGAAGGUUUUCGGAUCGUAAAGCUCUGUUGUUAAGGACGAAUGUAUAGAUUGUAAAUAAUGAUUUAUAAUGACGGUACUUAACGAGAAAGCCACGGCUAACUACGUGCCAGCAGCCGCGGUAAUACGUAGGUGGCAAGCGUUGUCCGGAAUUAUUGGGCGUAAAGGGAGCGCAGGUGGGAAUGUAAGUCAAUCUUAAAAGUGCGGGGCUCAACCCCGUGAUGGGAUAGAAACUACAUUUCUUGAGUGCAGGAGAGGAAAGUGGAAUUCCUAGUGUAGCGGUGAAAUGCGUAGAUAUUAGGAGGAACACCAGUGGCGAAGGCGACUUUCUGGACUGUAACUGACACUGAGGCUCGAAAGCUAGGGGAGCGAACGGGAUUAGAUACCCCGGUAGUCCUAGCCGUAAACGAUGGGUACUAGGUGUAGGAGGUAUCGACCCCUUCUGUGCCGGAGUUAACGCNCAUAAGUCAAGCUACUAAGGGCAUACGGCGGAUGCCUAGGCGCCAAGAGCCGAAGAAGGACGCGAUAAGCUGCGAAAAGUCAUGGGGAGCCGCAAGUAGGCAUUGAUCCAUGAAUAUCCGAAUGGGGGAACCCAGCAGUCGUAAUGGACUGUUACCCAUGCCUGAGAGCAUGAGGAGGUAGACCCGGGGAACUGAAACAUCUAAGUACCCGGAGGAAAAGUAAUCAAUUGAGAUUCCCUAAGUAGCGGCGAGCGAACGGGGAAGAGCCCAAACCAGCCAACUUCGGUUGACUGGGGUUGAGGACUGACAUAAAUCAGAAAUGGCUUAGCUGAACGAUCUGGGAAGGNCGAUGGACAACUGGCAAAAAUUCCAGUACCACCAAUAAUUGUUUGAGUGAUGGAGUGACACAGAAGGAAGUUCGAGCAUACUGAUGGAAUAGUAUGUCUAAGCUUGUAGGGUGAGAGACAGGUAAAUCCGUCUCUUGAAUACCUGAGGAGUGAUGGGUAUCUAAGGCUUUGGCCGAGNCUUGUACACACCGCCCGUCACACCACGAAAGUCAGUCACACCCAAAGCCGGUGGGGUAACCGUAAGGAGCCAGCCGUCUAAGGUGGGGCCGAUGAUUGGGGUGAAGUCGUAACAAGGUAGCCGUAUCGGAAGGUGCGGCUG